AAUUAUUAUAAUUAAUCAGCAAAAUUCGGGAGCUUCUUCAACAAGAAACAAAGCCAUUCAACAUGCUCAAACGGAUUAUAUAGCUUUGAUCCGGAGAUGUCCGAAUGGGGAAACCCACUCCGCAAGGAGUACUCCGACCUGAACACAUAGGGUCGGUAGAGCGAACCGGGAGAACUGAAACAUCUAAGUACCCCGAGGAAAAGAAAUCAACCGAGAUUCCCAAAGUAGUGGCGAGCGAAAUGGGAACAGCCUGUGCGUGAUACCGAACGAACUAACAGAACAUCCUGGAAAGAUUGGCCAUAGCGGGUGAUAGCCCCGUAUGUGAAAGUUCAUUCGGCUUACUAAGCGCACGACAAGUAGGGCGGGGCACGUGAAACCCUGUCUGAAUAUGGGGGGACCAUCCUCCAAGGCUAAAUACUCAUCAUCGACCGAUAGUGAACCAGUACCGUGAGGGAAAGGCGAAAAGAACCCCGGGAGGGGAGUGAAAUAGAACCUGAAACCGGAUGCAUACAAACAGUGGGAGCUCCCUCGUGGAGUGACUGCGUACCUUUUGUAUAAUGGGUCAGCGACUUACGUUCAGUAGCAAGCUUAACCGAAUAGGGGAGGCGUAGCGAAAGCGAGUCCGAAUAGGGCAUCCAGUUGCUGGGCGUAGACCCGAAACCAAGUGAUCUAUCCAUGGCCAGGAUGAAGGUGCCGUAACAGGUACUGGAGGUCCGAACCCACUAAUGUUGCAAAAUUAGGGGAUGAGCUGUGGAUAGGGGUGAAAGGCUAAACAAACUUGGAAAUAGCUGGUUCUCCCCGAAAACUAUUUAGGUAGUGCCUCGAGAUUACACUGACGGGGGUAGAGCACUGUUAUGGCUAGGGGGUCAUCGCGACUUACCAAACCAUGGCAAACUCCGAAUACCGUCAAGUGCGUCCUCGGGAGACAGACACCGGGUGCUAACGUCCGGUGUCAAGAGGGAAACAACCCAGACCGCCAGCUAAGGUCCCAAAUGAUAUGCUAAGUGGUAAACGAAGUGGGAAGGCCUAGACAGCCAGGAUGUUGGCUUAGAAGCAGCCAUCAUUUAAAGAAAGCGUAAUAGCUCACUGGUCGAGUCGUCCUGCGCGGAAGAUGUAACGGGGCUCAAGCAUAUAACCGAAGCUGCGGAUGCACACAGUGCAUGGUAGGGGAGCGUUCUGUAGGCCUGCGAAGGUGGCUUGUAAAGGCCGCUGGAGGUAUCAGAAGUGCGAAUGCUGACAUGAGUAGCGAUAAAGGGAGUGAAAAGCUCCCUCGCCGUAAACCCAAGGUUUCCUACGCAACGUUCAUCGGCGUAGGGUGAGUCGGCCCCUAAGGCGAGGCAGAAAUGCGUAGUCGAUGGGAAACAGGUCAAUAUUCCUGUACCGAUUUUAGAUGCGAUGGGGGGACGGAGAAGGGUAGGUCAGCUAGCUGUUGGAAUAGCUAGUUUAAGCGUGUAGAGAGAUGAAUUAGGCAAAUCCGGUUCGUCAUAUCUCAAGGCGUGACGACGAGUGUCCACGGACACGAAGUGACUCAUCCCAGGCUCCCAGGAAAAGCCUCUAAGCUUCAGUCUAAAAUCGACCGUACCGCAAACCGACACAGGUGGGUAGGUAGAGAAUACCAAGGCGCUUGAGAGAACUCGGGUUAAGGAACUCGGCAAAUUGACACCGUAACUUCGGGAGAAGGUGUGCCCCUCCAGGUCAGGUCCCUCGCGGACGCAGCCCAGAGGGGUCGCAGAGAAUAGGUGGCUGCGACUGUUUAUUAAAAACACAGCACUGUGCCAACACGAAAGUGGACGUAUACGGUGUGACGCCUGCCCGGUGCUGGAAGAUUAAAUGAUGGGGUGCAAGCCCUUGAUUGAAGUCCCAGUAAACGGCGGCCGUAACUAUAACGGUCCUAAGGUAGCGAAAUUCCUUGUCGGGUAAGUUCCGACCCGCACGAAUGGCGUAACGAUGGCCACACUGUCUCGACCCGAGACUCAGCGAAGUUGAAAUGUUUGUGAAGAUGCAAUCUCCCCGCGGCUAGACGGAAAGACCCCGUGAACCUUUACUGUAGCUUUGCAUUGGACUUUGACCUCACUUGUGUAGGAUAGGUGGGAGGCUAUGAAACUAGGACGCCAGUCCUAGCGGAGCCAUCCUUGAAAUACCACCCUGGUGGCGUUGAGGUUCUAACCUUGGUCCAUUACCUGGAUCGGGGACCGUGCAUGGUAGGCAGUUUGACUGGGGCGGUCUCCUCCCAAAUCGUAACGGAGGAGUUCGAAGGUUACCUAGGUACGGUCGGACAUCGUACUCUUAGUGCAAUGGCAAAAGGUAGCUUAACUGCGAGACUCACACGUCGAGCAGGUGCGAAAGCAGGACAUAGUGAUCCGGUGGUUCUGUAUGGAAGGGCCAUCGCUCAACGGAUAAAAGGUACUCCGGGGAUAACAGGCUGAUACCGCCCAAUAUCGUGACAGAUCGGAAGAGCACACGUCUGAACUCCAGUCACCUGAAGCUAUCUCGUAUGCCGUCUUCUGCUUGAAAAA
rnacentral:rRNA from 1 species